UUCCGGUUGAUCCUGCCGGACCCUACUGCUAUCGGGGGAGGACUAAAACAUGCAAGUCGUGCGCCUCCAAGCCAUGGUGGAGACGCGGCAUCCGGCUCAGUAACACGUGGCUAACCCACCCUUGAGACGGGGAAAACCCCGGGAAACUGGGGUUAAUCCUCGAUAAGAGAAGACACUUGGAAUGGGUCUCCUCUCAAAGGGCGCCUAGACCAUGCUUCUGGGCGUUGCUCAAGGACGGGGCCGCGGCCGAUCAGGUUGUUGGUGAGGCAACGGCUCACCAAGCCUAUAACCGGUACGGGCCGUGAGAGCGGGAGCCCGGAGAUGGGCACUGAGACAAGGGCCCAGGCCCUACGGGGCGCGGCAGUUGCGAAAACUCCGCAAUGCACGAAAGUGUGACGGGGCUACCCCGAGUGCCGUCCGCUGAGGGCGGCUUUUCCCAGGUGUAAGGAGCCGGGGGAAUAAGGAGAGGGCAAGUCUGGUGUCAGCCGCCGCGGUAAUACCAGCUCUCCGAGUGGUAGGGAUGAUUAUUGGGCUUAAAGCGUCCGUAGCCGGCCCGGCAAGUCUUCCGUUAAAUCCAACGAUUCAAUCGUUGGACUGCGGGAGAUACUGUUGGGCUAGGGGGCGGGAGAGGCCGACGGUAUUCUAGGGGUAGGGGUAAAAUCCUAUAAUCCCUGGAAGACCACCAGUGGCGAAGGCGGUCGGCUAGAACGCGCUCGACGGUGAGGGACGAAAGCUGGGGGAGCGAACCGGAUUAGAUACCAGGGUAGUCCCAGCUGUAAACGAUGCGGGCUAGGUGUUGGGGCGGCUACGGGCCGCUUCAGUGCCGCAGGGAAACCAUUAAGCCCGCCGCCUGGGGAGUACGGCCGCAAGGCUGAAACUUAAAGGAAUUGGCGGGGG
rnacentral:rRNA from 1 species